AAUAAAUAAAGGCAAAACCGGAGUAAUUCGGUGACGCAAAGCCAGUGCCCUAGCCAGUCAGGAAGGGUCGAACGGUUACCAAG
rnacentral:ncRNA from 1 species